UACGGAGGGGGCAAGCGUUACUCGGAAUUAUUGGGCGUAAAGGGCGCGUAGGCGGUCGUGUGCGUCAGAGGUGAAAUCCCCGGGCUUAACCCGGGAGCCGCCUCUGAUACGGCAUGGCUUGAGUCCGGGAGAGGAGAGCAGAAUUCCCAGUGUAGCGGUGAAAUGCGUAGAUAUUGGGAGGAAUACCGGUGGCGAAGGCGGCUCUCUGGACCGGUACUGACGCUGAGGCGCGAAAGCGUGGGUAGCAAACAGG
rnacentral:rRNA from 1 species